rnacentral:lncRNA from 1 species
CAGAGGAGAGCGCAGAGCCGUAAAAUGUCGUAAAGUCAGAUAUAAAACGUGACGCUUUUCUUCCUGUGUCCUUCUCAGCUUCAACCCGCCUGCAAGUGUUCGUGAAGAAGGCUGGCUUAAAACUAGGAGAUUCUGAGGCAUCUCCAUGGUGUUUGAAGUGUGUAGUAACCAACAUAUGCAGUAUGGUUUCGGAUGACAUUAAUGGUCCUCCUGUGAACUGA